rnacentral:tRNA from 1 species
UGGCCCCUCGUCUAAUGGUAGGACAGCAGAUUCUGGAUCUGUGAAUCGAGGUUCGAUCCCUUGGGGGCCAGCCA